rnacentral:rRNA from 1 species
UAGAACUGUAAUUUAAAAAUCUUGAUUAGUAGUAGUUAUGUUCUUGAAAAUUAAAAAAUUUGGCGGUAUUUCAGUCAAUUCAGAGGAACCUGUCUUGUGAUUGAUAGUCCACGAUAAGAUAGACUUAUCUUUUUAGUUUGUAUAUCGUUGUUUAGAAUUUCUUUAUUGGGAUAAUUUUCAAUUGUUUUAAAUUAAAUUAAUUUCAGAUCAAGGUGCAGCUUAUAGAUAAGAAUUGAUGGGUUACAAUUUAUAUAUAUUUGGUUAUUUAUUUUAAAUUUUAAAUAUAAAUGGGAUUUGAUUGUAAUUAAAGAGAUUUUUCUUUAAUGAUCAUUGUUCUGAAAUAUGU